rnacentral:lncRNA from 1 species
CUUUCUCAGUGCCCCCAGAGAGAAUCCAUCUCACAUAUAUUCCACUGUUUUUGCUUUUCAAUCUAUGCUUAUCAGCCUGAGAGGAGAUGGUCUGGAAAGGAGGCCUUCUCUGAUGUUCUGAUUAAACCUGGUUGUGAGACAAGCACUGUUAGGCUGCACCUGAGCUUUAUGGCUUUCACCACUGUUCCCACUCUUCCUCCAGCUGUAAUUUGAGUCUAGCAUGUUUUCCUGCCUAUUUCUAAGAGGGUGGGAGCAAUAUCCUUUCCAACUUUCUACAUCACUGAGCUCCUAGCUGACAUUUUAAAAGAUUCUUUAAAUGUACUCAAGAAUAUCGCUAAGAUUAGACUGUCUUUACUCAGCUCAAAGAGCAUCAUGAUUUGCAGUGAUACCACAGAUUUGGAAAUAGGUUUCUUCCAAGAAAAUUCAUCUUUCUGGAAAGGAGAUAUAACAAAAACCUUCCCCACAGAAUGAUUGUGAAACUGAAGUGAGAUCGUGUUCCUGAAGGGCUCAGCAUGGUCGCCAAGCCCCAAGAUGCAAUACUCUGUGGCUAUUAAUUUUUAGGAUCAUUAUUGAGCACAGCAUUUUUAUACCUUCGAUCUUAAUUGUAUCUUUCAUUAAUAUGAAAUAAAUUUCACA